GGGCGUAAAGGGUGCGUAGGCGGUUUGAUAAGUCUGAUGUGAAAUUCCUAUGGCUCAACCAUAGAACUGCAUUGGAAACUGUCAAACUAGAAUACUGAAGGGGCAGAUGGAAUUAGUGGUGUAGGGGUAAAAUCCGUAGAUAUCACUAGGAAUACCGAAAGCGAAAGCGAUCUGCUGGGAAGUUAUUGACGCUGAGGCACGAAAGCGUGGGGAGCAAACGGGAUUAGAUACCCCGGUAGUCCACGCCCUAAACGAUGAAUGCUAGUCGUCGGAAAGCUCGUCUUUUCGGUGAUGCAGUUAACACAUUAAGCAUUCCGCCUGGGGAGUACGGUCGCAAGAUUAAAACUCAAAGGAAUAGACGGGGACCCGCACAAGUGGUGGAGCAUGUGGUUUAAUUCGAAGAUACGCGAAGAACCUUACCUAGCCUUGACAUUGAUUGAAUCUUUCAGAGAUGAGAGAGUGCCUUUCGAGGAACAUGAAAACAGGUGCUGCACGGCUGUCGUCAGCUCGUGUCGUGAGAUGUUGGGCUAAGUCCCGCAACGAGCGCAACCCUCGUCGUUAGUUGCUAACAGUUCGGCUGAGCACUCUAGCGAGACUGCCUUCGCAAGGAGGAGGAAGGUGAGGACGACGUCAAGUCAUCAUGGCCCUUAUGGCUAGGGCUACACACGUGCUACAAUGGGGCGUACAGAGAGUUGCGAUACCGCGAGGUGGAGCUAAUCUCAUAAAGCGUCUCUCAGUUCGGAUUGAUCUCUGCAACUCGAGAUCAUGAAGCUGGAAUCACUAGUAAUCGUAGAUCAGCAAUGCUACGGUGAAUACGUUCCCGGGUCUUGUACUCACCGCCCGUCACACCAUGGGAGUUGAUUUCACCCGAAAUCGGGAAGCAAACCUUCGGGAUGCUACCGCUUACG
rnacentral:rRNA from 1 species